rnacentral:rRNA from 1 species
UACGUAUGGUGCAAGCGUUAUCCGGAUUUACUGGGCGUAAAGGGAGCGCAGGCGGCGCGCCAAGUCUGAUGUGAAACCCCGGGGCUCAACCCCAGGCAUGCAUUGGAAACUGGCGGGCUGGAGUGCCGGAGAGGUAAGCGGAAUUCCUAGUGUAGCGGUGAAAUGCGUAGAUAUUAGGAGGAACACCAGUGGCGAAGGCGGCUUACUGGACGGCAACUGACGCUGAGGCUCGAAAGCGUGGGGAGCAAACAGG